GAAAAACAGAAUCCCCUCUCGCCCGCUGUGAAACCGCAAUGCCAUCUACAAGAGGGGCUUUUGUGACAGGGUUUCCCCCACUGCAGGGACCACAAUCUCACAGUCCGCCCUUGCAAGAUGAAGUGCUUCACCUUGAGGGUUGUUGUUUUUUGUUUUUUUUUCCUUUCUUUUAUGGUUGCUUCUAACUGGUGCCUCACCUUAGAUAUAAAGUAUCCCCGCGGAGAGAUGAGCUAAUGUGUGUGAGAAGGAGCCUCUACUGGGAACUUCCAUGAAAGAGAAGCACAAGCAGGGAAUACCACGGUGGAUGCAAAACAGAGCAGCAGAGUUGAAAGAACAUGGACUUUGAACUCAAAACGUCUUUGAUUAAAAUCCGGGCUCUUCUGUUUACUAACUCGAAAGCCUCGAGCAGCUCCUGGAACCUCUCUCUGGCCUCUGCUUUUUCUCCUCCGGGGAGUACUUCAUUGUGAGAAAAGAGAGCACAGGAGCAAAUCAAAUUAAGAACUACAGGUAGGAGAUGGUACCAGUUGGCAAUGAUAGACAAGACAUGAAGCCAGAGAUCACAAAACCAAUAUAUAGCUCCAGGCUCCUCACUCCUUACCCCAGGUCAGCGCUAUCCUCUAGCACACUUUCCCAGGAAAGGGACAUGAGACCACACCAAGCCUCCCUGAGAGAUAGUAUUUUCUGCGUGGCACCAGGAUAACAUCAAAGCUCUUCAGUGAGGGUCUGGCGACCUCCCCCUCUUUGGCCCUCAAAAUAACAGAGUAAGUCAAGUUCAACACUGUUAAUGGGUAAUCUGUACUCACUUUCUCUGCCCUUGUGAAAACAGGCCGAGUUUUAUUUGGGAAAGCCAGUGAUGGUGUGUUUGAUUUUAAACAUACCGAGUGUUUGAAAACUCUCUCAGAUAAUGAAACCUCAAACAGUGUGGGAGAUGUAUCAGCAAAGUCCAAGAGUACUCAUCUCACCCAGAGUAAAUAAAAGAGAGAACAAAAUGCCCUUUGUAGUGCACUGUGUGCCCUGUAUGUGUGCAGUGCCUGUGCCACUGCCCUCACUUUAAUGCUCAGAUGAUCCCAAGGCAUUUAAUCCAAGUCACUUCAGCACAUCACACUUGAUUGCAGAAUUUAAAGAAGACAAAGAAUACUGUGAAAUGUGACAGACACCUUGGGACCUCAACUUAUGGUAUAAAGAUAGAUGAGAAAAGCCUCCUAGAUUUAACUCCUAUGUAUCUUGAAACUAAAGCAAUGAGAUAACGAUAUGUCUCGUGGACAUUUCUGUCAGAGAGAAGUGGAGCAGCCCAAACAUCUUUAGUUCCAAGGUUCAGCAUGAUCCUGAGAGCCUCUUAAUAUUUGCUGCCCCCUGUAGUUUGCUCUUGUAAAAAUUUUAUUUA